rnacentral:tRNA from 1 species
GGGGCCGUCGUCUAGCUUGGUAGGAUGCCAGCCUGGGGAGGGAAAUCCCCGCGUCCCCCGGAUCGCUGGUGGUCCCGGGUUCAAAUCCCGGCGGCCCCA